CAUGUGCGUUCUAAAUGAAAAAAAUAUACCUAUAUGUAUAUACAGACAGAGCUAUGGCAUCCGAAUGCAGAUAUCCGUACCUGACGCGCGUUGAUAUUAGCAUAAAGUGUGAGAGCCUCUGGGAUGAUCGGGAUAAAAAUGGGAGUACAAACAUCGGGGCAUAAUAGACGCCCCGACCGAAUGGAAAUACUAAUGAGACGGAACCGUGCAAGUAUAACAGAUCGUGAAGAAUGGCGCACGUGGGCGGAGAGAUGCGACGAGAAUUACGAAUAACGGACGGAAAACGUAGUCACACAAUUUCUCAUUAUCCGCUAUCGCGCGAUAUAUAUAUAUAUAUAUGUAUGUAUAUACAUAUAUGUGCGAUUUGCGAAAGUGAACCGCGAGUGUUCGGGUGCAAAGAGCGCUGAGCGAACGUACAUAUCUCAACUGGCUGCUGGAGGAAAGUACAUAUCGGGAGAAGCGCAAUCUCUCGGUUUUUGUUUUUUAUUUCAAGGGAUACAUCAACGCCGCGCGCAAUUCCCUGUUGAAUGCGAAGUAGAUCCACGGAUUAACGCAACUCGUCAGACUGUUCAGGAGACUUAGGAUCGUGAAGGGUGCUCCUGAAAAAUUAUAAGCGGCAACAAGAACUGAUUUACCGGUGAAAAAUGGCGACGUGGAAGCUUUCGGAUCCCAGGUUGCCCAGAGUUCGCAUCCGAUGAAAGGGGUGUUCGUG